ACGAGAGAGAAGUCUUGGCCUUCAACAGAAAAUGGUCAAACUAGAAAGAGUAACACUUUUGAGCUCCUCAGUGAAUGUGGCCUUGGAAAACCCCUUCACCUGGGCAGCAAAGGAAGAGGGAGAAAGACAGAGCCUGAACUGGUGCAGAAAUCCCUUGCUCAGAGACAAAAAUUCUCUAAAUUGAGACUUUGGAGGAGACCAAAAG
rnacentral:lncRNA from 1 species